ensembl:snRNA U6 U6 spliceosomal RNA
UUGCUUCAGCAGUACAUGUGCUAAAAUUGGAAUAACACAGAGAAGAUUAACGUGGCCCCUGCAAAAGAUGACAUGCAAAUUUGUGAAGUGUUCCAUAUUUUU